rnacentral:rRNA from 1 species
AUUGAACGCUGGCGGCAGGCCUAACACAUGCAAGUCGAGCGGAUGAAGGGAGCUUGCUCCUGGAUUCAGCGGCGGACGGGUGAGUAAUGCCUAGGAAUCUGCCUGGUAGUGGGGGAUAACGUCCGGAAACGGGCGCUAAUACCGCAUACGUCCUGAGGGAGAAAGUGGGGGAUCUUCGGACCUCACGCUAUCAGAUGAGCCUAGGUCGGAUUAGCUAGUUGGUGGGGUAAAGGCCUACCAAGGCGACGAUCCGUAACUGGUCUGAGAGGAUGAUCAGUCACACUGGAACUGAGACACGGUCCAGACUCCUACGGGAGGGAGCAGUGGGGAAUAUUGGACAAUGGGCGAAAGCCUGAUCCAGCCAUGCCGCGUGUGUGAAGAAGGUCUUCGGAUUGUAAAGCACUUUAAGUUGGGAGGAAGGGCAGUAAGUUAAUACCUUGCUGUUUUGACGUUACCAACAGAAGAAGCACCGGCUAACUUCGUG